rnacentral:rRNA from 1 species
CCUACGGGUGGCUGCAGUGGGGAAUUUUGCGCAAUGGGCGAAAGCCUGACGCAGCAACGCCGCGUGAGUGAUGAAGGCUUUCGGGUCGUAAAGCUCUGUCAGGGGGAAAGAAGUGUAUUAUGGUUAAUACCCAUGAUACUUGACGGUACCCCCAAAGGAAGCACCGGCUAACUCCGUGCCAGCAGCCGCGGUAAUACGGAGGGUGCGAGCGUUGUUCGGAAUUAUUGGGCGUAAAGCGCGUGUAGGCGGUUUAUUAAGUCUGAUGUGAAAGCCCCGGGCUCAACCUGGGAAGUGCAUUGGAAACUGGUAGACUUGAAUACGGGAGAGGGCAGUGGAAUUCCUGGUGUAGGAGUGAAAUCCGUAGAUAUCAGGAGGAACACCGGUGGCGAAGGCGGCUGCCUGGACCGAUAUUGACGCUGAGACGCGAAAGCGUGGGUAGCAAACAGGAUUAGAUACCCGUGUAGUC